rnacentral:rRNA from 1 species
AUUGAACGCUGGCGGCAUGCUUUACACAUGCAAGUCGAACGGUAACAGGCCUUCGGGUGCUGACGAGUGGCGAACGGGUGAGUAAUGCAUCGGAACGUACCCAGAGGUGGGGGAUAACGCAGCGAAAGCUGUGCUAAUACCGCAUGUGAUCUGAGGAUGAAAACGGGGGACCGAGCAGCAAUGUUUGGCCUCGCGCCUUUGGAGCGGCCGAUGUCGGAUUAGCUAGUUGGUGGGGUAAAGGCCUACCAAGGCGACGAUCCGUAGCUGGUCUGAGAGGACGACCAGCCACACUGGGACUGAGACACGGCCCAGACUCCUACGGGAGGCAGCAGUGGGGAAUUUUGGACAAUGGGCGCAAGCCUGAUCCAGCAAUGCCGCGUGCGGGAAGAAGGCCUUCGGGUUGUAAACCGCUUUUGGCAGGAACGAAACGGUGUCCGCUAAUACCGGGCGCUAAUGACGGUACCUGCAGAAUAAGCACCGGCUAACUACGUG